rnacentral:rRNA from 1 species
UCAGAUUGCAGGCUGCAACCCGCCUGCAUGAAGUCGGAAUUGCUAGUAAUCGCGGAUCAGCAUGCCGCGGUGAAUACGUUCCCGGGCCUUGUACACACCGCCCGUCACACCAUGGGAGCCGGUAGUACCCGAAGUCAGUAGUCCAACCUCGUGAGGACGCUGCCGAAGGUAGGAUUGGCGACUGGGGUGAAGUCGUAACAAGGUAGC